ensembl:lncRNA
AAUAGCGACAGUUUCACUUCUUCCUUUCCAAUUUGGAUCCCUUUUAUUUCUUUUUCUUGCCUGAAUGCUCUGGCUAGGACUUCCAAUACUAUGUGGAUAACAGUUCUUUAUCAGAUGUGUCUUUUGAAAAUAUUUUCUCCAUGCCCAUUGAUUUCAUAAUCUCCAAUUUUGUCUUAUCACUGCCACUCUCUACUAUAAUUUUUCUUUGAAGAUAAAAAUGAGCUUUUGUUUUAGAACUAUGUUGUGCAAUAUGAUACACUAGCCACCUCUGGAUAUUUUAAUUUAAGUGACCUAAAUAAGAUUUUAAAUUCAUUUUUUCCAUUGCACUAGCUACAUUUCAAGUACCACAUUUAGCUAGUGGCUACUCUAAUGGACAGAGCAGAUAUAGAACAUUUCCAUCAUUACAGAUAGUUCAGUUGGACAGUCCUGUUCUGUAGGUUCAGGGCAUUAUAUUUUUACAGUAUAACAUGCUACGUUUUCUAUCUGCAGAUCAUAAAGUCUCUACAUAGUGCCGGAAUAAUCGGAUACUUCCGUUCUUUGGUCCUGUCAUUAAUUAAAAUUUCCACCUAAAUGGAUCACUGUGAGAAAUAGUUAAGUUAAGGAUCUGGAUUCCCCAUGUAUUUCUUGAGUCUCAAGAUCCAGUUUAGGAUAUAAAGGAAGAACAUGAGUGUUCACCAGGAAAUCAAGACUCGGUGCUCAUCCUUUUGUCUGACUGGAACAUGAUGCUCGGAAGAAGAGAGCUAUGAUUAUUUUUCUGCUUAAAAAUCAUCCAUUGUUUCCUCAAUCCUGGAAGGCAUCCGAAAGAGAAGGAAAAUCACACUGCUUACUUGAGCACGUGAGUUCCCACUUUUCAUCACCUUUUCUUGUUAAAAGCAUGACAUUUCUUUCUUGAAUGUUUUUUCUCAACUUGGGGAAUCUUUAUGAUUAAUAUUUCAAAAUUAACUAAUUUUGAUUAUUAGUAUUUGAAUAAUGAGUGAGUAUGUUUCAGGUAAGCAUCAAGGUAUGUUCUAAGGAAAAGUUUAAUAUGGAAAAAGCUAUGUCAAAGUAUAAAUCCACACAAAUAAAUCCACUUUUCUAUCUAUGUGGACGUAUGGGUGAAAGACAGAUGAAUAAAAACAGGGUAUGAGGGCAGGUGGGAAUGGUCAAAAUGUUCUUUGUAUCUUCUAAUCCCAUGAGGGUUUAUCUAAUUACCUCAUAAUUUUCAUUCCUGAGACUGGGGAUGCAAGUCAUAACCUGUAGCUGCAGCGAAGCAAGAACACCAGAGAAGAAAGACAUCCAUCUGGUCAUUUGGCCAUUUGGCCAAUUUGGGAACUUUUAUGUGAAAGGAAUGAAAGACUGAGACAAACUAGAAGGAGGCGUUUUUCUUGUUCAGAGUUGGGCUAUCCUCUGAGAAAAUGGGAACAACCAUGGAUCAGCAUGCUUCUGUUAGGGUGUAACUAUCUUUCUGUGGAGGGUGGAUGUGAAGUGAAAUCACAGCUAUUGAACACCUACUCGCUAAGUAGGACAAGCAGCAUUUCCUGAUUUCAUCCUCAUAACAACCAUUCAAAUGAAGUAUUAUUAUACCUGUACAAAUGAUGGAACGGAGACUCAGCUUCCAAGGUCAUUCUGCUGGCGGAGCAGCCAUGAGCCAUUGUCAUGAAGACAGAAGCUAACGUGCUGAAGAUGGCAGUGCAUGUAAGACAGAGCUGGGAUCAUUGAUGACAUCGCCGAGCACCAAAUGCCCUGGACUGCCACCCUCAGAC